rnacentral:rRNA from 1 species
AUUGAACGCUGGCGGCAUGCCUUACACAUGCAAGUCGAACGGCAGCAUGGGUGCUUGCACCUGAUGGCGAGUGGCGAACGGGUGAGUAAUGCAUCGGAACGUACCCGGAAGUGGGGGAUAACGUAGCGAAAGUUACGCUAAUACCGCAUAUUCUGUGAGCAGGAAAGAGGGGGAUCGCAAGACCUCUCGCUUUCGGAGCGGCCGAUGUCGGAUUAGCUAGUUGGCGGGGUAAAGGCCCACCAAGGCAACGAUCCGUAGCGGGUCUGAGAGGAUGCUCCGCCAGACUGGGACUGAGCCACGGCCCAGACUCCUACGGGAGGCAGCAGUGGGGAAUUUUGGACAAUGGGGGCAACCCUGAUCCAGCCAUGCCGCGUGAGUGAAGAAGGCCUUCGGGUUGUAAAGCUCUUUCGGCUGGGAAGAAAUCGCAUCUCCUAAUACGGGGUGUGGAUGACGGUACCAGCAUAAGAAGCACCGGCUAACUACGUGCCAGCAGCCGCCGUAA